AAAUGGUCCAUCGCUUCAGGUGCUCCGCGGGACCUUCGUCCCCGGAGUGAAACGGGAAGCCGGUGCGCGUGAUGAACGCAAUUCCGGCGCUGCCCCCGCAACGGUAAGCGAGCUCGGGCGAAUCACAGUGCCACUGCAUCGAAGUCUGGUGCGGGAAGGCGAUUCACCCAGCCAAUGCUCGCGAGCCCGGAGACCGGCCUGAAGCUGUCCGAGACG
rnacentral:ncRNA from 2 species